rnacentral:rRNA from 1 species
AGCAGCCGCGGUAAUUCCAGCUCCAAUAGCGUAUAUUAAAGUUGUUGCAGUUAAAAAGCUCGUAGUUGAAUUUCGGGAUUAGUGCGCCGGUCGUGCCUUCGGUAUGUACUGGUGUUACUGGUUCCUACCUUCUGACGAACCGUCAUGUCAUUAAUUUGGUGUGGCGGGGAAUCAGGACUGUUACUUUGAAAAAAUUAGAGUGUUUAAAGCAGGCUCGCGCUUGAAUACAUUAGCAUGGAAUAAUAAAAUAGGACGUUCGAUCCUAUUUUGUUGGUUUCUAGGAUUGACGUAAUGAUUAAUAGGGAUAGUUGGGGGCAUUAGUAUUCAAUUGUCAGAGGUGAAAUUCUUGGAUUUAU